rnacentral:rRNA from 1 species
AGGACGAACGCUGGCGGCGUGCUUAACACAUGCAAGUCGAGCGGAAAGGCCCUUCGGGGUACUCGAGCGGCGAACGGGUGAGUAACACGUGAGUAAUCUGCCCCUAGCUCUGGGAUAGCUCCGGGAAAACCGGGAUUAAUACCAGAUACGACCACUUUAGACAUCUGUUGUGGUGGAAAGAAUUUUGGCUAGGGAUGAGCUCGCGGCCUAUCAGCUUGUUGGUGAGGUAACGGCUCACCAAGGCGACGACGGGUAGCCGGCCUGAGAGGGCGACCGGCCACACUGGGACUGAGACACGGCCCAGACUCCUACGGGAGGCAGCAGUGGGGAAUAUUGCGCAAUGGGCGAAAGCCUGACGCAGCGACGCCGCGUGGGGGAUGAAGGCCUUCGGGUUGUAAACCCCUUUCAGCAGGGACGAAGCGAAAGUGACGGUACCUGCAGAAGAAGCGCCGGCUAACUACGUGCCAGCAGCCGC